rnacentral:lncRNA from 1 species
UGGAAUUCGCUUUCCACUCAAUUCAAUUCUAUCUUUGCAAUCAAACAGACCAUAAUAGUGUUAAACCGGAAAACUUUGAUGGAAAAAUUUUUAAAAGAUGGAAAAAAACAAAUGGAAUAUGGUUGACCGUUCUACGGUUAAUUUCUGCUAUGGAAGAAGAUGAUGAAAGUAGAGAACCUACUUCAUGGUAUAACCCAAAACAAAUUGGAUUCAAUUGUAGCAAUUGAAUUUUAAGUGCUCUUUUCGAUAGAUUUUAUAGUAUUUAUCAAAAUAUCACGACUGCUAAAGAGCUUUGGAAAACUUUAGAGGAAGAAUAUGGAAUUGAUAAUGCUGGAAUCGAUAGAUUUAACGCAUCAACUUUUAACAAAUAUGUUAUGAUGAAAGAAAAAUCUAUAAAUGAACAAAUCCAUCAAUUUUAAGAUUUACUACGACAUGUAGAAAAAGGGUCAAGUUUUAAUGAGGACAAUAAGAUUUCAUACCUUAUAGAUAAACUUCCACCUUCUUGGUCGGACUUCCCUAAAAGUCAUAGACAUAAGCAAGGGAUUUUAACAUUGAAACAUGUACUCAAUUCCUUGAUAACAGAAUAAUAUCAUAGAAAUCGUAUCAAUAAAGUUGAUAAAUCACAUGCUAAGGCAAACUUGGUAGAAAAAUCAAAAACCCCUACUAGUUUCUCAAAGCAAUUUAAGUCUCGGGGGUAAUUAGUUUUAAAAAAACUUUCACCGUUAUAGAAAAAUUUCCAACAUAAGAGUAACUACACUGAGGAUAACAAAGGCAAAAAGAAGGAGCAAGGGCCAUGUUAUGUAUGUGGAAGAACCAACCAUUUUGCUUGAGAUUGCAACUAAAAAGGGACUAAGGAGUACAAGCUUAAAGACAAAUUUCAAAAGGAUCAAGUAAACAUGUUGAAGGAUGGUGGAUAUUCCAUUAGAUGUGAAUCAUCAGCAUCUUCAGUCAAUUUUACUUAUAAUAGUAAUGAAUGGUGGUUAGAUUUUGGAGCAAAUGUUCAUGUUUGUUUUGAUCAGAGUUUAUUUAAAUCUUAUCAGACUUCAAGAGGAGGAAGCGUAACUUUGGAAAAUGACUCCCUCG